UACGGCGAGCAGUGGGAAGUAGUUAGCACGAAUAGGCGGCAAAGCCCUGAUCGCACGCCAUCGCCGCGUGUAUGAAGAAGGCCUUCGGGUUGUAAAGUACUUCUAGUCGUGAGAAGUGUAGUAGUACCUAGCAAUAGACGUUGCGACAGAGAGCACGGCUAACUCCGUGACCAGCAGGCCGCGGUAAUUACGGAGGGUAGUCGUAGGCGUUAAAUCGGAAUUACUGGGCGUAAAGGGCUAACGACUAAAGGCGGUUAAAUUAACGUUAGGAUUAGUUGAAAUCCCCGGACUUUUAAAACCUGGGAAUGGCAUUCAAGACUAGGUUAGCUAGAGUCUUGUAGAGGGGUAGAAUCAAUGUAGUAGCGGUGGAAAAUGCGUAGAGAAGUGUGGAGGAAUACCGGUGACGAAG
rnacentral:rRNA from 1 species